CCCACACUCUCAUGUCGAAACAUAAUUUAUGAUAUCAAGUUGGAAAUCAAUAGAAAUGGCUAUGAAGGUCGGUUGGGUUGGACGAUUCUCUGGAGGAUGAGAGAGAUUUGGACAUGGCAGAUCGUAGGGCUACAGAGAUUGAGCUUGAUACCAUGGAGGGUUUUGCGUCAAGGGAAAAGCUCCACCAUCAUCUCAACGACCAAGGUUUCUUGACUUGAAGUUUAGUUUGUCUAUCAUAUUUAGAGAUAAUAAACGAGUCUCUGGGAGAACCAACUCUGAUGAUGUUUAAAUUAGAUGAGAAGCUGAAGUUGAUAGAAUCUCGUCUGGAAAGCAAAAAUUGAGGGCCCACUUCAGGCUUACAUCCUCGUUGACGUACAUCACGUGAUAUUCCUCCGGUGUGGAGUUAAGAAUUUGGGGGUUUCUUUCAAGAAGCAAGUAAAAUGUAC